AAUUCUUCACCAGUUCGUUGGAUGAGUCCUGAAAGUUUGUUUGAAAAUGUAUUCAAUGUGAAAACAGAUAUCUGGUCAUUUGGAAUACUUCUGUGGGAAAUUGUACAUUUUGGACAUCUACCAUAUCCUGACAUGGGUCCUCAUGAGGUAACAGAGAAGAUUCAGACUGGAUAUAGAAUGUCACAGCCCCCGCACUGUAGCAGUGAUAUAUAUAAUCUGAUGUUGAUGUGUUGGGCAGAGAAUCCAGAGAAUCGACCGUGUUUCGGUGACAUCAUGCAGAACUUACAUCACUUGUCCCAGCAUGCAGACACACAUAUCAACAUUGAUAAGUUACCAGAAGGCUUGCGGAGCGCUGACAUCAUUGACAACAUGGAUAUCGUAGCUUGAAGAAAUCUGAGCACAUUGUUACUGUCUCAUAAACAGAAAUCCAGAGUUGAAUACUUGUUUAGAACUAAUAUGCAUGUUUAAAGUCCAUUUAGUGUUUAAAUACUGUUUAAGAGCUCAUUAAUUAUGUCUCCCACCACACAGAGGUUUGGGAGACAUAUUGAUUUACUCCUGUCUGUGUGUGUAUGUGUGUCUGUCUGUCACAAAGCUUGUCCACACUCUUAAUUCGAACAUUUCUCAUCCGAUCUUCACCAAAUUGAACAAAAUGUGUUUGCUAAUAAGUCCUCAGCCAAGUUUGAUAGCUAGCCAAAUCAGCCCAGGCACUUCAGAAUUAUGGCCCUUGAACAUACAGUGCAACCUCUGUAGAGCAACACCCUUUGGGAGAUACCAGUAUUGACUGUUAUGUAGAGGUUGUUGUUAAGGUAAAUUUGAUAGUAUAUUUCAGCUUAGGGAAAUUUGGAUGAUGUUGUUAUAGAGAGGUUUUUGCUUAAGAGAGGGCUGCUCUGGAGAGGUUGUACUGUAAUUACCGAUACAGAGUUGUAGACCAGUUACACCAACAUGUGAAUACCAAUAGGCUGCAAACAGUAUACAAAGACAGACUUACUAUUUAGAUGAUUAGGCAGUUGUGGGAGACAUGUGCUUUUCUCAAAAGCACCUCUAGUUGAAAACUAUUUAGCAAUUUGAGGUCUUAUUUAAAAUGAAUAUCUACAUUUUGUAUAAUUCUAUAUCUUAAAAAUAUAUUUGUUAACUAUAAAAUAUUAGUAAUUUUUAGAAACUUUUAAUUAUCCAUUUCGUGAUAAAUUUUUGUGAACAAACUUUGUUAAGAUCAUAUAGAACAUCCUGUAUAUGUUAACAGGCAGAAUCAGAUAAUUAUAUAUUUAUAGUUAAGACUGACUUUAUACUGGAAACUGUUUGUUUUGUUACAGGGUUACCUUUCAUGGAAAUGUGUACUAUAGUUUAUACAUGUUUAACAUGCAUCUUCUGUGGUAAAUGAAAAUAGGAAAUAUUUUUCAGAAUGUGAAGUAACAAAAAAUUGAUGUCCUCAACUUAAAAUGUACCAUCCUGUAAAGAAAUAGCAUUUAAAAUUGAUUUAUUACAUUCUUUUCAUUGAGUUGUGAAACCCACCAUCAGAAAAAAGGUUGAACUUUCUAAUCGGGGAGGGGGAGCCUCCAUGGCCGAGUGGUUAAGGUCGCUGACUUCAAAUCACUUGCCCCUCAUCAGUGUGGGCUCAAGCCUCACUUGGGGCGUUCAAAUCUUCAUGUAAGGAAGCCAUCCAGCUGGCUUAGGAAGGCCAAUGGUUCUACCCAGGUGCCCGCUCGUGAUGAAAUAUUGCACGGAGGGGCACCUGGGGUCUUCCUUCAUGCCAAAGCUGGAAAGUCGCCAUAUGACCUAUAUUUGUGUUGGUGCGACGUUAAAUCCAACAAAAUAAGAUAAAUUCUAAUAGAGGAAAGGGUGUAUAAGGAAUAUUGUAUGUGUUGUAUUUCAUAAGAAGGGUGCAAUAUAAAUGUGUGAGCCUCUCUGCGGUCAAGUGGUGAAAUCACUCAUGUACUCUGUGUUCAAAAUCUGGCAGGCUAGUAGUUCUUACCCUGGAGGGGAAUCUUUGGUCUUCCUUUGCCAUCAAGAGCUGGAAAGUUGCUGUAUGACCUAGUAGUGUGUUGGUGGGAUUUAAGACCUGAUGUGAAGGUACACUGUGUUGCUGUAUGACCUAGUAGUGUAUUGGUGGGAUUUAAGACCUGAUGUGAAGGUACACUGUGUUGCUGUAUGACCUAGUAGUGUGUUGGUGGGAUUUAAGACCUGAUGUGAAGGUACACUGUGUUGCUGUAUGACCUAGUAGUGUGUUGGUGGGAUUUAAGACCUGAUGUGAAGGUACACUGUGUUGCUGUAUGACCUAGUAGUGUGUUGGUGGGAUUUAAGACCUGAUGUGAAGGUACACUGUGUUGCUGUAUGACCUAGUAGUGUAUUGGUGGGAUUUAAGACCUGAUGU